GCCCCCGUAGCCCAACUGGCAGAGGCAGCGGACUUAAAAUCCGUAGGUUGUCGGUUCGAAUCCGACCGGGGGCACAA
rnacentral:tRNA from 1 species